UGGCACCUACGGGAGGCAGCAGUAGGGAAUCUUCCACAAUGGGCGAAAGCCUGAUGGAGCAACGCCGCGUGGGUGAAGACGGUUUUCGGAUUGUAAACCUCUGUCCUCUGUGAAGAUAAUGACGGUAGCAGAGGAGGAAGCUCCGGCUAACUACGUGCCAGCAGCCGCGGUAAUACGUAGGGAGCGAGCGUUGUCCGGAUUUACUGGGUGUAAAGGGUGCGUAGGCGGGUAAGCAAGUCAGAAGUGAAAUCCAUGGGCUUAACCCAUGAACUGCUUUUGAAACUGUUUAUCUUGAGUGAAGUAGG
rnacentral:rRNA from 1 species